UGGGAAUCUGCCCUUAGGUUCGGAAUAACAGUUAGAAAUGACUGCUAAUACCGGAUAAUGUCUUCGGACCAAAGAUUUAUUGCCUAAGGAUGAGCCCGCGUAAGAUUAGCUUGUUGGUGAGGUAAAGGCUCACCAAGGCGACGAUCUUUAGCUGGUCUGAGAGGAUGAUCAGCCACACUGGGACUGAGACACGGCCCAGACUCCUACGGGAGGCAG
rnacentral:rRNA from 1 species